GACAGAGGUGGCAAGCGUUGUUCGGAAUUACUGGGCGUAAAGAGUCUGUAGGUGGUUUGUCAAGUCUUUGGUGAAAGGCCGUAGCUUAACUAUGGGAAUGCCAAAGAGACUGGCAGGCUGGAGGCUGGGAGAGGGAAGCGGAAUUUCUGGUGUAGCGGUGAAAUGCGUAGAGAUCAGAAAGAAGGCCGGUGGCGAAGGCGGCUUCCUGGAACAGACCUGACACUGAGAGACGAAAGCGUGGGUAGCAAACAGG
rnacentral:rRNA from 1 species